UACUAUAGGGCGAAUUGGGCCCGACGUCGCAUGCUCCCGGCCGCCAUGGCGGCCGCGGGAAUUCGAUUACGGGGUGCAGCAGGCGCGAAAACUUGGCAAUGCGAGAAAUCGUGACCAGGGAACUCCAAGUGCAUGGGGUAAGACCCAUGCUUUUCUUGACUCUAAAUAGGUCUUGGAAUAAGGGGUGGGUAAGGACGGUGCCAGCCGCCGCGGUAAUACCGGCGCCUCAAGUGGUAGUCGCUUUUAUUGGGCCUAAAACGUCCGUAGCCGGUCUGAUACAUUCGUGGGUAAAUCAACCAGCUUAACUGGUUGAAUUCUGCGAGGACGGUCAGACUUGGGACCGGGAGAGGUGUGGGGUACGCUCAGGGUAGGGGUAAAAUCCUGUCAUCCUGAGCGGACCACCUGUUGCGAAGGCGCCACACUAGAACGGAUCCGACGGUCAGGGACGAAGCCUAGGGGCACGAACCGGAUUAGAUACCCGGGUAGUCCUAGGUGUAAACGCUGUGGACUUGAUGUUGGGGGUGCUCCGAGCACUCUCAGUGUCGAAGCGAAGGUGAUAAGUCCACUGCCUGGGAAGUACGGUCGCAAGGCUGAAACUCAAAGGAAUU
rnacentral:rRNA from 1 species